UGUCGCGCCGCCAAACGGGAGGACGGAGGAGUACUUUUUGUCUCAGUCCUUGGGUGGAGGGGAUUUAUUUAGCCUCCUAUUGAAUCCCGCAAAUGGAUAAACAUGAAUGAAGACUACAGGUUAAAUGCCUUCGGCGCCCCCCUCGUGAAAAAGCGCACCGUGAGGGGCGUUUUCCGUGUAUUUUCCACUGUGUUUUUCCUAACAGGUACCGAGCAGCGGUCAGUCAGUGUGCCGCUGAAAGCAGACUGAAUAUCCCGCUUUGUAAUCUCCUGACAGCCUUUUUAACCCAACCUUGGAUUGAGGAAAGGAUCUUGGAAGAGCUUUACUCUCAUCUCCAUCAUGGACAUGGCUUUUUUCCUCUCUGUUAUUCCUUCUUUGUAACAGAUUUGUUGCCGUCGAUCAACAUGAGGAAAAUGGACGGUGUGGAUUAGGAUCCUUUUUUUGAAAA